CUCUACCUUCGUGGUCAGAUGUUAUAAACUCAAGGGUUUAUAUCCAGUACAGAAGGGUAAAGGAUCUUGUUUCCGUUGCGAUAGCAAAAAAAUACUAUUUAGCACAAGCCGAGAGUAUCGAUAUUGAGAAAUCCGCAGUGCUU
rnacentral:ncRNA from 1 species